UACCCAGAUUACAUCUGGUGCAAAUGCACUCGGAGCCUGGGGCCAGACUGGUGCUAACACUGCAAACUUUGUCCAGAGCUCUCUCCAAUCUGAAGGCUUGCUGGGGGCACAAUGUCACCUUCACAUGCUGGGCCCUUUCAGAAAAGUGCCAGAUCGUGUCACUGGUGCUAUUUUUCAUGCUCUGGUACAAUGUGUAGCACCACGGGGGUCUCAGCUUUACCAAAAUCAAAAUCCCCUUUGUCAGCUAAUUGCAGGGGCAUUUGUUUUUUGCUCUCCUCCCACAGGAUUUGUUGGCCAUUUAACUGCAGGCCAUUUCUCCCAGCCCCCAACUCUUGGGUUGGCUCUGUCUGCUCAGAAAGCCUGUCUUCAUGAAGCCGCACUCAGGUGCCUCUGUGAGCUGUCUUAAAUCCUACUGCCAGCCCUUCAGGACUACGAGCCAGCGAAGAACUCUCCAAUGUCUGGCUCAUGACUCUGUUGUUUUUCUCCUCAUUCUUUUCCUCUGCUCUCCUCCUCCUUUUGUUGCUAUCUCAUUCCAUCUUUCUUUCUUUUCUUUUUUUUGAUCCUCUCCUUUUAUUCUUCCUUCUCACCAUCUCUGAGUUGUUACUUUUCUCCCAUAAUACUUCCCAAUUGCCUUUCUCUUUGCCCAUCUCUCCUUUGGUCUCAGUCUCUGCUCUUCUUAUUCCCUUUUAGCCUCGCUUUCCCAUCCUUUCUCCUCUCCCCACAUCUCUGAUCAUCUCCUCCCCCACACCCCUACACUGAUUUGUCUGUCCUAUAAGGGCUCAUGGCUCAUUCAGACAGCAAGUCCAUGCACUGGACUAACGACACAAAUACUUGGGGUCUCCGUUCACCUACUCAGCCCAGAAAGCAAAGCUGAGCAUGGGGCCCUGGCCUGGAGCUAGCUCCAGCCGGCCCCAGGAGCCAGCCUGCACCGCUGCCCUGGCAGCGAUGAUGCAUGUGCUGUGGGCCCUGCCAGCACCUGGGUGCCUCUGCCGGAACGCUGCUCCUAUGUGAGCCCACUCCCAGCACCAUCCGUGGCUCUGAGGACACUUCUUUUCAAUAAAGGCAGACUCUAGCCCCAACAAUUAUUCUGACAGCAAAACUCUUCCCAUUGAAGCCAUGCCAUCGCCUUGGUUUGGAGAGAGACAUUUUUUCCCAUCCAUAAGCUUUUUUUUCCCCCAUUUUCAUGUGAAGCCCCUUCUGCUUUUCAGUUGGUGUUUGCUCUGGUGAGAUUGAGUGGGCUCGCUGGUGAAAUGACAUCUCUUCUUCCCUGUUUUGGUCCUGCCUAAAUUCCUACAAAUAUAUUUAAGCCAAGGAUGCAGGCUAGUUUCUAAGUUUAUCAUAUUGUCACUUGUAGCUGGAAAAAAGAUUGGUUCCCUUGAAGCAUGUGGAGUACCUCCUGUGGCAACUGAUUUGCCGGGGGACUCCCAAAAGAAUUCUGUGGACAUAACUUUACUAUGUGUAUGUAUAGUAUACAUGGUGUGCAUACCAUGUGUACACAUCUGACACUGGGUAUGAAUGACUGUGGCUGGAAACCCACACACACACUGCAGUCUGUAAAUAUCCUUCCUCGCUGAAACCUGUGCUUUGGAAAUCAUUUCUUGUACAGCUGUGCAGUUUCUUGUAGCAGCUGAGGACAAACCUAAGACAGGUGGACAAUUUAGACAAAGAUCAUCUAAAAGUACAGUAUCUCCCUAGCAAUUCACGAGGACAGACAACCAAGUGGCAAGGUUGACUCCCAAUGGGAUGGCAAACUUUUCUUCUCUCCUUUUUGAAUUUGUGUUUCCUAAGUGUGUCUUAACUUCCGAGUGCACCAGGCUGUACCCGUUAGAUCCUUUCAAUAUAACAAUUCUGUACUUCUCUCUGACAGGAUGUUUCUCCAUCAAGCUAUAGUGCAGGAUGGGAGGGAGGGGGGAUACUCCUUGCCUGGGCUGGACUUUACAGAGACACUGCACAGCUUACACUCCUGUUAAGUGUAAAUAUUCAACACUUCCAUUCCAUUUGUGUAAAAAAUAAAGCACACACGAUUAUAAAAUCAAGAUGUAUAUUUCAUACUCAGUGUGUCCGUGCAUAUUUAUUGCAUUUUCAGUUGUCAGCAGUGGCCCCGUUGUAAAAAUGCCUGAUAGAGUGUUUAUAAACAUGUCGUGGUUUUAUUAUGAGAUAUAAAUAUUAAAACAUUUUGUACUUUAUAGCAAA